AGAGUUUGAUCCUGGCUCAGAACGAACGCUGGCGGCAGGCUUAACACAUGCAAGUCGAACGUGAAGCAGGAGCUUGCUCCUGUGGAAAGUGGCAGACGGGUGAGUAACGCGUGGGAAUUUACCCAGUGGUUCGGAAUAACGCAUGGAAACGUGUGCUAAUACCGGAUACGCCCUCCGGGGGAAAGAUUUAUCGCCAUUGGAUGAGCCCGCGUCGGAUUAGCUAGUUGGUGAGGUAAUGGCUCACCAAGGCGACGAUCCGUAGCUGGUCUGAGAGGAUGAUCAGCCACACUGGGACUGAGACACGGCCCAGACUCCUACGGGAGGCAGCAGUGGGGAAUAUUGCGCAAUGGGGGAAACCCUGGCGCAGCCAUGCCGCGUGAGUGAAGAAGGCCUUAGGGUUGUAAAACUCUUUCAGUGGUGAAGAUAAUGACGGUAGCCACAGAAGAAGCCCCGGCCAACUCCGUGCCAGCAGCCGCGGUAAUACCGAGGGGGCUAGCGUUGUUCGGAAUUACUGGGCGUAAAGCGCGCGUAGGCGGGCUGGUUAGUUGGGGGUGAAAUCCCAGGGCUCACCCCUGGAACUGCCCUCAUACUGCCAGUCUUGAAUUCGAGAGAAGCAACCGGAAUUCCUACUGUAGAGGUGAAAAUCCUACAAAUUAGGAAAAACCCCCAUGGCCAAAGCCCCUUACUGGGCUCCAUACU
rnacentral:rRNA from 1 species